CUUUAUUUUAUAUCAAAUACAGCUUUUUUAACUUGAUUUCCUCAUGGAAACUACUGUGGUAAAUGACACAAUUCACAGAGCCAUGAAACAGGCAGAAGAAAUAUGUUGAGCAUGUUAAAGAAUAAGAGUUUUUUUAACUAUUCUUUGUGCAACUUGUAUGAUAUCAUAUGGUCUGCUAUUUCAAUAAAAGGAAGGUUCACUGGCCUACUCUUAAAUACAGAUUUGAAAAUCAUAAUGCAAAGCAUAAAAUAUUAAUUAACAUAUUUAUUUAGGGCUACUUUUUAGAAGCUUACACAAUGUUACAAUUGUUCAGCACAUGACAUUUUGACAUAAAGGCAGGAUAGGCUCCUCAAAAGAAUAAAACACAAAUGCACUUGCUUAAAGUAGGAUACAUAUUUAUACAGGAAGAUGAAGAUUCAAAAUAAAACCUAUGCCUAUUCACCUAUGGUUAUUUUAGCUCUACCUCAAAAUACAUAAACAAGUGAAACAAUCCAACUGCUGAUGAACAGCCGUGAGUUUCACAGACUGUCUCUGUACUUAUUAAACUGGACAUAAAAUGUGCACACUGCUUCUAAACAAAAAAAUGUAGUGGAGUGCAAUUUUACUUUAACAACAUGGCUUUUCUGUAAGCACACUAAAGCAUAUUCUAGUCACAGAAUAACCUACAAUUAAAUCAAUAAGCAUUAAGAAUUUAAAUAGCUUCCUGGACUGGGGACACAGAAUUUACUACAGGGUACCAACAGUCUCUAUUUGGCAAGGCCAGAAUACUUUGCUGAAUAAGGAGUUCAAGAUAUGCAUAAUGUUUAGCUGUAAAAUAUUUUAGCAAGUAUGGCCCACAAUGAUGAAUUAAGUGAAAAUCAAGAAUUUUUCUAAUCUUUCAAAAAUACUUUUAGGUUAAAAUUAAUUAAACUUCUUUCACAACAUUUUUAAGGGCACAGAGUUGGGAAGCAACUGUAAAGACAUUCAAUUGACUACAAUUUUAAUAUUUGGUUCAUGUCUUGUAAAUUGAUCUAUGAAAAAAUCAAGUGUUCAAGAGAUCAGUUGUUGUCUAAACAAAAAUCAAAUAUUAGCUCCUAGAGAGGAUUAGUUGGGGUUUUCUACAAUAAAAAUUAUAACCUACCAUAUAGAAUUCCUUGUGAGAAAUAUAUUGAUAAAAUACUUGCACUUUUCAAGUUUCUCCGGACAGUUUUCAUGAAAUCUAGUGCCUAGUCCACAAAGUCCUUCAUCCUUAUUUAAAGUGAAUAUGGAUUUUGACACAGGUUCACAAUGGUUACCUGGGAAAAUUUAGCUUGCUUUGGGCAUAACUGAAAAAAGUUAUUCUUAGAAGCAUUUGCAAUUUUAGGUGGAUGCUACUUGAGAAGUACAUGUAAAAAGGUGAAAAGACUGACCUCUGUCACCACGGAUGUGUCAGUGUCUCCAUUACCCAGAUUGAAUUUAGCUAUAGUUUGCAUAAAGAGGAAGGGUGAUUCACCUUGGAUCACAGAUUCAGUGCUCAGAAAAAGGGCAAAAUUUUCAGUGACUUUAUCUAUUGCUGUCACUUGUCACUGUAGGGAUCAAUUUAACUUUACAGCAUCCAAAGCACCUUUUGCUCCUUUUUGCUGCCACAGCACAACUCAACAGGAUUCUUUCAUUGAGUGCUCUUAGAUCCCCCGUGACUACUUAAAACUCUCAGGGUAAUUGUGUAAUAGAAUACAACCUGACUGGCUGCAACCUACUGGCUUUCCGGCACACCAGAACAAAAGCAAAUCAAAACAAGACAAAUACCCAGCAUUCAAAAACCUCCUUCAUUCUUCUACUCUCCAAAGCAUGAUCAUAGGAGACUUAAUGGGUUUUUCUAAGAGGAAGAAAAGGGAGAGGGAAGAUAAACAUGAAUAAUGUGAAUAUCUAAGGAUUGCUAACAAAAUUCAGGAAAAAAAUGUUGGCCACAAGCAUUCACUACAAAAUUUAAUUAAUUGCAAGCAAAGACUGAUUUAAAAGACCUUAUAAAAGCAGCAUUAAACAGAAAUCUAGACCUUCAGGCAAGAAGUUCUGAUGUAAGAUUAAAUGCUACACAAGGUUAUACCAUUCGAAGUCUCAGUUUUUAAUAUAUGUUUUUCUUUAGCUCACUGGGUAAAUCUGGCAAACAGAAUUAGCUAUGCAAGCCAUCUAUCCAACAUCCCCACAAAGUCAAACAGAAUAAGUAGUUACAGCUCUUCUUCAUAUCAUAUGCUCUUUAAAACAGUUAUUUCCUAUUUAUUAUUUUUAUUACAUACAGGUAGUUACUGGCACAUGACAGAAAAUUGAAUGUGUUUUAUAAAAAACACUUAUAGAUCUUAAAUAUUGUUUAGUAUUUAAUAACAUUAUCAUCCACAUUGUUUGCAACCUAAAAAGUCAGAUUUCCAGGGGAAGCAGAAGGAGAGAUGAUGGACCCUUUAGCUCUAAAAAACCUCUAUAUAAGAGUCCUUGCUAUUCCUUUGAAAUUAGUUAGGGGAGGGGAAUUAACGCUAAUAAAUUAUUCAGUAAAAUGUGCACAGUUAAGUGCCAUUUACAGUAUUUUAAACAUUGAUUUUCAAACUUUCUUUUAAGAAUAAGUAGUCACAGAGAAACAGGGCUAGCAAGCUAUUUCAUCAUACGAACCUUUGUUGCUUUAAAAUUAUUACCUUGGAAGGGAGGAAGUCACUCUAAAUAAGCCAAUAUGAUGUUGUAUCUGAUUUGAUUUCAAACUUUAAGGUUUGUAUGCUCUCAUACUGCACCCAGAAAUUUUGCAAACAUUAAUUUAUUUCCCACAUUCAGCAAGGCUGCUGAAGUAUUUAACUAAAUAUUUAUGAGGUUUUUGAGGAAAACAUUAAAUCAUCCAUCUACUGGUAGGUGACAGGAAAAUUGAAGUAAAUACUCACUGGUUUAGUAUAUAUAUAUGUGCAUGUGUGUGUGUGUGCCCACGUGUAUGUAUAAAUUUGUUUACUUUUUUCAACUCAACCCCCAGUUUGGAGACUUAAACCAAUUCAAGGACCUAGGUGGGUAUGGAAGGGGAGUUACAGAGACAACGGGUCUGAAUCAGCAGGUUACACAUCACUGUACUGCAAUCUAGAUGAGCUUUCAAGAUCAAGGCAUUUCUCUCUUACUGACAAGAAUAAUUCAUGUACUGAUUGUGGUGUUUUAAAGUGCACAGUCUUGUCUCUAAGUAUCUAAUUACAGCAUAUGUUUUGAGAUAAAUCUGAAAGUAUAAAUAAUGAUCUAUUUCCAUCUUAAUGUGUGGUUCUUCUAUUUGGGGCUGAGAACAAUCUCCCCUUAGAGCAAUUAUUCUGGCUAAACCUUGAUGUUAAAGAGAUAGAUGACCAAGACCACUAAAACUCUUCUUACUCUUAUGAGUGGAAUUAAAAGAAAAACACUGAAUUUUCAAUACUGAUUAUAAAGUGUGUAUUUCAAUACUGAUUAUUGAGAGAUUUAGAAAAUUAUAAUGCAUCUUUUCAACUUCAAAUCAUUACAGCUCUGUAUGAAUCUUUGUCAAAUAUAAGAAACACACAAUCUUUUCUCAUAUACAUAUUACCUGAAGAACACUGGAAAUAUUAUGGUUUGGCACAUACACUGUAAAUACACAGGCUUGGUCAAUUCCAUCCUUUAAAAGAGAAACUUUAUGGCUUUUGCCUUAUUUAUUUUCUAAGAUGUUUUAAAUAAGGAAAAAUUUAUAAAAGUGAUCAUUGUUAUUGCUUUUAUGGUGUAUUGAAUAAUCCACAGAAGACUUUUUACCUGCAGUAUAUAUCAAAAAAUAGCAGUUCAAUAAAUUUAAGAGGCACCUUGAGCAGAAGGCAAGUAAGGAAUAUGAAUGCCACUGCUAAGGAAACAAAACCUGCUUGGAACUAAAUUUAUUUCAUCCCAACAGAAGAAAUUCGGAAAACUUCAGAAAGACAAACAAACAAACAAACAAGAACAACCACAGACUUUAAAAAUAUGUAAAAUAGUUCUGUCUUUUCAGAAUACAAAAAGAGCUGCCUCUGAAUCCUUUACUGGAAUCAGGAAUUGCAUUCUCCCCUCCCAGCUGCACUAUGGAGAGAGGGCAGUAUAACUCUACAGCCUACUAAAUACACUAUUGCUAAGAAUAGGCCAUAAGUUCUGUACUGAUGUUGCAAAGACUCCGAAAUGAACUUUGUCAGGAUUACUUUGUACUUUUCUUGACCUACCUGGAACUUUGUUUUAGCUUGUUCAGCUAUAACAGCCUAACUAGAUGGCUAUGACUAGUUUGGGUUUUCUUUUUAAUAACUCUGUAUUAAUUAACCAUAAUCCUGUACAGAACUCUUGCAAUAAGUACGUUGUUAUUUCAUGUAUAACAAAAAUCACAUGGCUCUAACAUAAUGGUGUAAAGCAGGGAAAUAUGGCUUGGUAUGACAGUAGAGGCUUUAAAAGCGAGUUGUAAACUGUGUGUAAUGUAGAGGAGCACUGGGAGAGGAUAGUGACAGCAGUGACCCAGGGCUGGCUCUAGAGAACCUACACCUGUAAACUCAACUAUGGACAAUUAAAGAAAUGCAGAAUAACAAGGAGAAAAGCAAGAAGUAUCCAGUAUAUGCAAAAUGUUUUCUAUAUAGUCAAUUCAGCUUUAAUAUAGACCUGCAAAGAAAGAGCAAAGUUUGCAAUCUGUGCUAGAAGAACAUGGAAAUGACCCUGAGCAGAUCCUACAGUGAGGGGGAGGCAAUUAUCAUUAACAUUAUAUUGCUCUUGUUAAUGGACUCAGGAUCCUGAAAACUUGCAUGUCCAACUGAAGAUGUCAACUCGAAGAAGCCAAGGAGCAGUGGAAGGGUGAAUAUAAGUGCAAGAGAAGGGGUAGAUUAAAACAAGUCCAUGUUUAAUAAUUUUACUUUAUUACUAUUACUGAUUCUUCCACAAUACAGGAGGGUUUGUUCAUUUGUUUUUUUCUAUAUUUUCCUAUCACAAAUUUGAAGCAAUGAAUAUUCUUUAAAUUUUUAAAUUUAAGAUUUCAGUUUCACAAAGAAAAAAUAUUGGUUUUUUGUAUAUAAGAUUUGUUUACUUUUUGCCCAUAGGAAGACAGAAACUUAAAUUUAGAUCCCUGCAAAAUGGUACUGAAAGAUUUUUUUAGUGUCUCAACACAAGGAUAUAACCUUCUAGUUCAGUCAAACUCAUGCAACCUGAUGUUCAUUUGGAACAGUUUCCCCCACAAUCUUCCACACAGUUUUUCCGUUUACAUAUCCUUCUUCUCUUUGUAUGUGUCAACAGUUUCAUUUGAAAAGAAUCCACAUGGGUGUAUAUAUUUGCUCGGGCAUUUGAACAAAAAGUAGACUUUUAUGCUUUGCUGUCUACUCUGAAGAUUUUUAAUUCUAACAGAGUACUAUUGGAACAACAUUUUUAAUUUCAGUUUCAAGUAGCAUAGACUGGAAGAAACACUUGAUAUCUUGAUAUAACGCAUUUAUUUCUAUAACAACCUGCUCUGACAAGACCUCAUUAUACUUCAGGCUAUCAUCUGGAGCAUCUGUUCACAUAUCCCUUAAACUGUGAAGUGGGCAAUGUAUCAGCACAAAGUGCAUGCUAAAACAUCAGAGCGAUACUAGGAUCAUCCCUUCUCUCAUCAGAACAUAUUGUCUGCUACCUGUGAAGAAGCAACAUGUAAAUAAAAACAUUAGAAGAGGCUACAUAGAAUAUGUUUUCCCCAUGGAAACAUGGAGCUGUUUCUGCAGGACAAGCAACCUAUAGGCAAAGUAGAUUGAAACUGUUCUAGGUUGAAGCUACUCAUUUUCACUUCUUUGCACACGUUACAGCUUCUUCAAGCAGAUCUGGAAAUAUGAAUGACUAUGAGGUUUGAUUGAAACAAGUGCUAUUUCCUUACUAACUGUGCUAAUUCAGCAAAAUGGUAAAGCUGAGAUGAAUCACCAUGCAAAUCUGUGAGAAGCUUUAAAAUACUAGCUGCAAAAUGAAUACACAUUUUAUAUUUGUUCAUAAAGCCAAGAGACUAAAACUCUGAAUCUUCCUUAUGUCUGCUGAACUUUACAAUACACUACAGAGCAAGAAUUAUAAUAUUAAAAAUUUUAAAAUAAACCCCAAACCUUGUAUGAGGUACAGUAAUAACCAUUCAGAAUAGAAUUGGCUAUCGUUUAUAUUACAUUAUUAUAAUGUGUAGAGAGCACACAUUUCCUGAUGUUCUCUAUUUACGUUCUCACAUUUAUGUUCUCUAUUUACGUUUCAGUACAAGACACAUGCGCAGCAUACUUCAUUAAAAAGUAGCAUGUAAGAGAAUAAGGCAUACUGUUUGCAUCAGAAUUCUAGCUGCAGAGGACUUUAAAAAUAUCUCAGCUGCACUUCCAACUUUAUGUUCAGUUUUCAAUGUCCUAUAAAAGAAAAUACGUGAAUAUUAACGUGAAGUUGGCCACCAUUCUGAAACCCACUGACCACCUGUUUUUUACAAAAGAAUAAACAUGGUAGAAGCUACACAAAUACAUUCAAGUGUUGUCCCAAAACAGACUACUAGAUGCAACCAGCAAGCUCCAAAGAUGUUCUGCAUCUUUCAAAACAUGCAAAAAACUGAUAAACACCAACAGCCCUCUAAAUGUCAGAGAGCAUCCAGGCACAACUCCAGAGACAAGAUAUCCUUGUUGAAGAUGCAGCUCCUGAAAACAAUUCAGAGGAGGAGCUUAACCUGUCUUUUUCCCGAAGCUGAUCCACAUAGUUCCUUCUUCACUAACAGUACAAUAAGAUAAACCUUCCUUAACUUUUUCUCCUGGAAACUAUAUUUUGUCUGAAUAGGGUCUGCUUCAGUAGGGAAAUAUGCCUAGAAGAUUCAAAUAAGCAUCUUCCAUGGUUGCAAAUAGUUGGCCCAAAAGUGUUCUUCUGACUGACCAGAAGGCACUAUGAUUACACAACAGCAUUUCAAAUUAUGUGCUUGCAUACUCAGGUGCUGAGCAGGCUGGAAACAAUGAGACUGCAUACCUCUGGUCUCAAAUCGACUCCAAACUCCUCAGUCUAUUUCCUGCCUGCUAUAUCUCUCACUGAAUACUCAAAAGCAAGAAUCAAAACAGUUCAACAGAGGAGGAAGAAUGAAAAAGUACCCAAAACAAUUAAAGGUAAGAAAAAAAUUAAAGUAAGAACAAUUAAGGUGUCAGUUAACAAUUUUUCUGACCAAAAUUAUGCAAAAUUCUUAUUUUGGAUCCAGGAAAUAUAAUUAAAAUGUGGUGAGAUUCGAUGUAAAUGAGUUGUCAUCUGCAGGAGGACUCAGUACUUCAGUAAGCCUGAGGACAAGAAGCCUAAGGACAUCUAUGGACUAUAUUUCCUGCAGCACAGAGGGUGGGAUUGAGUGCAAGUUUGCUGAUGACACCAAGGUGUGUGCUGGAGGGAAGGGAUGCCGUCCAGAUGGACCUUGGUAGGCUUCAGAGGUGGGCCCAUGUGAACUUCAUGAAGUUGAACAAGGUAAAAUGCAAGGUGCUGCAUCUGAGUCAGAGCAAUUCCAAGCCCAAAUACAGUCUGGGCAGAGAAUAGAUUGAGAGAAGCACAGAGGGGAUGGACUUGUGGCUGUUGGUUGAUAAGAGGCUCAGUAUGAGCUGGAAAUGUGUUUUCAGGUCAGAAAGUCGAUCAUGUCCUGGGCUGCAUCAAAAGUAGCAUGGCUAGCAGGGUGAAAGAAGUGUUCUUCUCCCUGUCCUCUCCUGAGAUCCCACCUGUAGGGCUGCAUCCAGCUCUGGGUUCCCCAGUAUAAGAAGAAUGUGAACCUGCUGAAGCAAGAUCAGAAGAGGGCCAUGAAAGAUGAUCAGAGUGCUGGAACCACUCAUCUAUGAGAACAGAUUGAGGAAAUUGGGGUUGUUCAGCCUGGAGAUAAGCCAGGCUCCAAGGAGGCCAUAUAGCAACUUCCACUACCUUAAGGAGACCUGCAAGAAGGCUGGAGGGACUUGUCACAAGAAUAUAUAGAGAUAAGACAAGGGACAAUGCUUUUAAACUAAAAGAGGGUAGGUUUUGAUAGAUAUUAGGAAGAAAUACUUUACCGUGAGGAUACUGGAACAGAUUCCAUAGAAAUACUGUGAAUACCCCAUUCCUGAAAAUGUUCAAGAACGGGUUGGGGGGGGAUUUGAGACAACUGGUAUAGUGAGAACUCUCCCUGCCCAUGGUAGAAGGAUUGGAAGGAGAUAAUCUUUAAGGUCCCUUCCAAGCCAAAGCGUUCUAUGAUCAAAGACUUUGCAUGUCCAAAUUCUAAUGGCUACAAAAAGCCUGAAAAAAUAAAUAUAUCUCUGAAAUACCACUAUAUUGUGUGUAGGUGGCAAGAUUUUGAACAACAUGAGGGCUACAGUGAUGACUGCUUUGGUAGGAGAUCAGAACUCAGCUGAUUUCAGCCUUCUCUGCAAGGGACCCACAACAGGGCAAAGUGGAAGUUGUUGGACAUUUGUACAUUUCCUUGUAUUUACAGAGAGAGAAGAAAGGAGAAAGUGUGAGAAAAAAUCUUACAAGCAACAAGGUGUGACAAAGAGGGUGAGGAUGUGCUCCAGGUAGUGUACCAGUCAUUCCCUUAUAACUCUUGCUGGAGCAAUUUGUUUCCCUGCAGUGUAUGUACUUGACCACACUGGAAUAAAUAUCCAUUUGCAGACCUUGAAGGACUCUGCUCUGGAAUGUUGUUCAUUUCCUUUUAAGAUACAAAAGAAUGCAUAUUUUGUGUGUAUAUUUUCAGAUUCUCAGACCUACUAUUUAUUAGUCAUAGUGCAUCACAGUGGUCAAGAAUGCUUUCUAAUGCAAGAUUCAUGUUAGUUUUGAGUUAAAUUAUUGUACUUCCUGGAGUUCUGAAUGCCACAGAUAAAUAGCACAAGUUUAGGAAGAUUCACUUGCUAUCAAACAUCAUAUUCGACUUCAAAAAAAUUCUGUAUUAGGAGAUUAGAGGAUUGGACUCAAAUCAGAAGGAAGAGAUGCCACUAUUAUGAUAUGUCUUUUAUGAUGAGUUACCCUUAGAUUUGUCACACUCUUUUUGUUUAGUUAAAUAACAAAUAAUUUUUGUACAUCAAUGUACAAAUGUGAAAGGUAUAGAUACAUAAGAUAUAUGCUUAAGUGUUUAUAUGUAUUAAAAAUAUGCACAUAUGUCUAACCCUUGAGAGUAUCCUGUGCAUUUGGAUUUCAGAUUGCAGCAAACAUUUUUAAUUAUUUGCAUGUACAAAGCUAUAUUUGGCAGCACAUUUUAACUUUUAUAGUUAAGUAAGGCUCAGAUGAGAGAUUAUUCUGAAUGCUAAGAAGCCAUUGGAGAAUUUUAGCUCUCUGACUAUAAAGAGAUUGACUUGUGAUCUGUAGUGCUGUGUCAUUCACUCUUGUCACUUCUUUGCUAACGGAGCAUACAGGGGAGAUCAAGAAAAAGCAUAUUAGAAUCUUUGCCAACCUUCCACUGACAUUUCACCCCUACAGUGGAAGUAUUGGAAGACAACAAAACUGUAAAAAAAAUUAACUCUUUAGCAGUUGGGUAUCACUUAUCAAUUUAAAUCUAAGCCACCACAAAACAACAACAA